rnacentral:rRNA from 1 species
AUAUUGGACAAUGGGCGCAAGCCUGAUCCAGCUAUGCCGCGUGAGUGAUGAAGGCCUUAGGGUUGUAAAGCUCUUUCAGUGGGAAGGUAAUUGCGGUACCCCCCAGAAGAGCCCCCGCCUACCUUCGUGCAGGCAGCCGCGGAAAUACGAAGGGGGCUAGCGUUGUUCGGAUUUACUGGGCGUAAAGCGCACGUAGGCGGAUCGGUCAGUUAGGGGUGAAAUCCCGGAGCUCAACUCCGGAACUGCCUUUAAUACUGCCAGUCUAGAGACCGAGAGAGGUGAGUGGAACUCCUAGUGUAGAGGUGGAAUUCGUAGAUAUUAGGAAGAACACCAGUGGCGAAGGCGGCUCACUGGCUCGGUACUGACGCUGAGGUGCGAAAGCGUGGGGAGCAAACA